UACGUAGGGUGCGAGCGUUAAUCGGAAUUACUGGGCGUAAAGCGUGCGCAGGCGGUUCUGCAAGUCAGAUGUGAAAUCCCCGGGCUCAACCUGGGAACUGCGUUUGAAACUACAGAGCUAGAGUAUGGGAGAGGGAGGUAGAAUUCCACGUGUAGCAGUGAAAUGCGUAGAGAUGUGGAGGAAUACCAAUGGCGAAGGCAGCCUCCUGGCCUAAUACUGACGCUCAUGCACGAAAGCGUGGGGAGCGAACGGG
rnacentral:rRNA from 1 species